CGCAAGGCGAUAUGUCGAGCUCUGCGUAGCCUGGUUUCAAUGGCUUAUUUAAACAGGUGUCUCCUUUUCCUUUGUAUGUGUUUUCGAGUCUCUUUAUGUGUAAAAAUAGCCUGUAGAUAUCCUGCAGUGUGAUUUUAUUUUUCGAGUUCAGCUCUGUGUUAUCAUAGAAUUCAGGUUAGGGAGAUCAAGAAGAUGUUUCAUAUGUUAGCACAACUACUGGAGGAUUUGCAGGUGAGCAACUAUUAUAUGAGUUUGGAUGACCGAAUAUCAGUAGUACAUCAAAAUCUACGGCUUUAUAUAGUUUGUCACAUACUGUCUUAUUUCAUAUAUGAUGACCAUAUCAAUCAAGUGUUUGUUUCUUUUUCAUUCAGAGUGUACAUUGCUUCCAGUGUAACAAGAACAGAAAAUAAGGUAAUCUCUAGAUAAUGUGUGAGGUUUCAGAUUCUGUAAUUUGUUUUACUGUUGCUACCUGAGCAUGCUUAGAUAAUGGGGUGAUUUGAGUGGAGUUUCAAAGUCGACCGUUCAUGUCUGCAGUCCCAAGAGACCUAAUAAGUACUGAUCACUUCAGAAAGUUUCAUGUUUCAUACUUAUGAUUGUUGAUACUGAUUGUAUUCACGUAAUUGGGCCACUUGGUUACGGUGGUUGGCUAACUAAUAAGUAAGAUGUCCCCAGUUCUGCAUAAAGAUUUAGGCACCCUAAUUUCUUAAGUCUUUGUGGAGUCAGAGGUGUGGAAUGUUUUUGUUCGAAGUCUUUUUGAAAUGAUGAGUGAUGCAUACCUAUUCAAUGUUUUACAUGGUACUGCAAGUGAAGAAAUGAUUUGUACUGAACCAUCUAAUGGGUUAUUGUGUUUCUUUGAAGUCAUGAAUUUGUAGCAAGUGACGCCCUUGGCAUUCUUUUUGAAAGAUAUCCAAGA
rnacentral:lncRNA from 1 species